AGAACGAACGCUGGCGGCAGGCCUCAAACAUGCAAGUCUAGGGGGUGUAGCAAUACAUCACCGGCGGACGGGUGCGUAACACGUGGGAAUAUACCUUUUGGUUCGGAACAACGCAGGGAAACUUGCGCUAAUACCGAAUGUGCCCUUACGGGGAAAGAUUUAUCGCCAAAGGAUUAGCCCGCGUAGGAUUAGCUAGUUGGUGAGGUAAUGGCUCACCAAGGCUCCGAUCCUUAGCUGUUCUGAGAGGAAGAUCAGCCACACUGGGACUGAGACACGGCCCAGACUCCUACGGGAGGCAGCAGUUGGGAAUCUUGGACAAUGGGGGAAACCCUGAUCCAGCCAUGCCGCGUGAGUGAUGAAGGCCUUCGGGUUGUAAACUCUUUCGACGGGGACGAGUAAUGACGGUACCCGUAGAAGAAGCUCCGGCUAACUUCGCGCCAGCAGCCGC
rnacentral:rRNA from 1 species